rnacentral:rRNA from 1 species
CGUGAGUGAUGAAGGCUUUCGGGUCGUAAAGCUCUGUCGAGUGGGAAGAAACUAUAUAGGGUUAAUACCUUUAUAUACUGACGGUACCACUGAAGGAAGCACCGGCUAACUCCGUGCCAGCAGCCGCGGUAACACGGGGGGUGCAAGCGUUAUUCGGAUUCACUGGGCGUAAAGAGCGCGUAGGCGGCCAGGUAAGUCAGAUGUGAAAGCCCGGGGCUCAACCCUGGAAGUGCAUCUGAAACUGCUUGGCUUGAGUAUGGGAGAGGGUAGUGGAAUUCCUGGUGUAGAGGUGAAAUUCGUAGAUAUCAGGAGGAACACCGGUGGCGAAGGCGACUACCUGGACCAAUACUGACGCUGAGGCGCGAAGGCGUGGGGAGCAAACAGGAUUAGAUACCCUGGUAGUCCACGCAGUAAACGUUGUUCACUAGGUGUAGCGGGUAUUGACCCCUGCUGUGCCGCAGCUAACGCAUUAA